CCGGCCGUAGGCAAUCGAUCCAUCCGACCAGGGCGCACGGCGCGUGGCGCCGCUCCACUGCAGUCUGCAGGAGGGGCGUGCGCUCCCUCCUCUCUCUUCUGUGCGGCGACGCACUGCUCCCAUACACGCGUGCGCCCCCUCCCUCUCCGUGCUGAUGCCGAGGCUGUCUCAUCGGAGCGGUUGGCGGAGGUCGUGCCAUCCCGUCGGCGCCUACCGGCCCUCGCCCCUGUCUUGCGACGGUCGCCGAGAUAUAAGUACCUCCCCUCCCUCCGGUGCCUCGUCCAUCUCGCCUCAACCCCAAAUCCUAGCAACAGCUUUGAUUUGCUCUCUUCUUCCCUCUGGUUCCUCCGCCUUCCCAGACCUCCUUAUCUUUUUUGUGCUUUCAUCCCUCUCUCCUACCAUGUGGUGUUUUUGUUUCCAAUUUUAUCUUGGUCUAAACCGCAACUUUCGGUUUUUGCUUUGGCCUAAUCUGCAACUUUUUGAUGUGCCUGAGCUACCCAGGCAAUGGCGUCAGGUGACCUAAGAGAGUGAGGGUUAAAUUGCAGCAGCAGGAUUUAAGCCUUUUAAGGUUCAGCUGAGCAGCGUAGAAAAAGAUGAUCCCUUACUGAAUCAGAUCACUCCAACCAAGGAAACAUAGAUUGCUUUAGUACCAAUAGUGCAAAGUACAAGGUCCGUCAAUGCUCCAGAUAUCCUUACUCAAACUGCAGUUGCAACGCCAACAGGUACACCGCAUAAGAAUGAUGAUACCAUUUUUGGCUAAGUCUACUGCUAAUCCUAAAGAAUCUAAGGAUGGAGCUGCUGAUUCUGCAACUAAGAUAGGAAAGACUAUCACUAGGAAAAGAUCUGUAUUGCCAACACAGAUUUAUUUUUUCAUAACAUGUCAAAUAAUAAUCUCCUAUCUAACAUGUAAAAUUUUUAGGUCCCGCCCCUCACCUAACAAGAAAACCGUCAGAAAACUGCUGCUUGAUCAGGACACUGAAAAUAAAGAUGAUGGCUGUGUCUGUGUACAUGACACUCCCAAGCCUAGUUCCAGUACCGAUGCUUAGAAGGAAGAAGCGGAUCAGCUCAUUUUGUGUUUACACAAUUGCAGCCAUGCAUAGACCUAUAUGUGAUGACUUGCUACUCCAUGCAAUAUAUUCAACUGUUUUAUUAUCAAUUAACUAUCUUUUGGAUACUCUUAUGGCUGCAAACUGUGUUACUUCCAACUUAAUAUAUUACUACUCCCUUUUAUUUGGAUCAGUAUUCCGAGCUACCUGCUAAAAUGUUCGGUAGCUACUAAUGCUGAUCCUCGAAUGUAAUAUAUGGUUUGACAGAACCUAUGGGCUGCAGAUGCCAUUCAAUCAGCGGUACUGCUACCGCUGCUGUUAAGAUAUUUGCAUGAGACAAUUGCCAUGAGUUUGCCUAUUGUUCAAA